rnacentral:tRNA from 1 species
AGGGGUAUAGCUCAGUGGUAGAGCAUGUGCUAGCAUGCACCAAGUCCUGGGUUCAAUCCCCAGUACCUCCA